rnacentral:rRNA from 1 species
AAUUCGAUUGAGUUUGAUCAUGGCUCAGGAUGAACGCUGGCGGCGUGCUUAACACAUGCAAGUCAAGGGGGCCCAGCAAUGGGCAACCGGCGAACGGGUGCGUAACACGUGAGCAACCUACCUAGGUGUGGGGGAUAGCCGGCCCAACGGCCGGGUAAUACCGCAUACGCUCUUCUUUAGGCAUUUAGAGGAGAGGAAACCUUCGGGGCACCAUGAGGGGCUCGCGGCCUAUCAGCUAGUUGGCGAGGUAAUGGCUCACCAAGGCUACGACGGGUAGCUGGUCUGAGAGGAUGGCCAGCCACAUUGGGACUGAGAAACGGCCCAGACUCCUACGGGAGGCAGCAGUGGGGAAUCUUGCGCAAUGGCCUAACGGCUGACGCAGCGACGCCGCGUGAGGGAUGACGCUCUUCGGAGUGUAAACCUCUUUUGCCUGGAACGAACCAUCAGCAUUUGCUGAUUUGACGGUACCGGGUGAAUAAGCACCGGCUAACUCCGUGCCAGCAGCCGCGGUAAUACGGGGGGUGCGAGCGUUGUCCGGA